CUUGUUCACAGAGUAAUGUAUUCGUGAAUUGGUUAUAUUUAUAGAAAGAUCAAUUCUGGAUGUACCAACAUAAACAAAAUGACACCAUCAGAAUCUGUCAAGAUCAUGGCAUGUUAAUAUGGCAUGUUAGAAGUGCACAUCCAGUGACAGUUUUUAAGCAACUGUUUGCUGCUUUUACAGGAUGUUUUCCUGAAACUUGACCUCCCCUGAAAUUACAGCAAUUUGUCUGUGAAGAUGCUACAGGUCCUGAUCCUUGUUGUAUUUGAGGAUGAGCUGAGAAGUUUUGAACUGAUCUCACAAGUGAAUAUGAAUUCAGAAGAAAUACAGAGACAGUCUAUCACUCUUUUUUGUGGUAUUAACCCUAGAAGCUGUUGCAGCGUGUGCAAGAUAUUGCAGAAAGAAGAGAUGUUUUCUUUCUCUUGUUCCCUUUUUCUGACUCUGUUUAAGACUCAUUUGUGUGACUAUUGUUAAUGUUAUAUGUUACAAAGUUAUAUUCACUAGACACUUGCCACAAGUUUCUUCAGACACGUGCAAUCAACUCCACAAGGAUAACAAUCAUCAUGUUUACUACUAUAAUUAGUAUGGAUAUUCCUGGAUCAUUAUGAUCCAGGCAUCAGAGUGCCCAAACUUGUUGCUUCCAAAACAAAUCUAUUUUGCAGCAAUUCACCCUGUCUCAGACAACCAGCUAUCUUCUUUUCUGGGACCUCCUUUUAUGAUUCACAAGGAAAUCAUGAAGCAAAUUAAUUUUCCUGGCAGCCACUUUCAUUCCCAAAGAUUCUACAGUCCUUUUCCCAUUGCUUGUUUGGAAGUAAGACAUCCAUAAUGAGAUCAAAAUGCAUGUUUUUGUUAUCAGUUGUAUGUCUGAUCAUGUUAUGGAACUGCACAGUCCUUGCAUGUAACAUCAACACCUAAUAGGAAAUACCUACUCAUUUUAGCAUGUGAUUGAUUCCCUUCUUUUUGGAAUUUCAUUGUUUGAUGUGACAAAAAUAUUUUAAGUUUAAGGUAGCUAAUUCCAUAGCUGAGUGUUUAAAAAUAGGGAAUGUGUUCAUGGCCUAAUACAAGGACCAUGUAUGCAGUGCUGCAUAUGGGGCUACAGCUUGAUAUAUCCUCAAUAUAUCCUAGAUAAAGACGAUGCAUUAAUACAUUCUUUUUGUGCAAUGUACACAUACUGAAUAUUGUAUUUGGAAAUUAUUUUUAAUAUUUUCAUCCACAAAAAAAAAAAAAAAAAAAAUCAAGAACAUUCUUUAUUAGAUAUAUUCUGUGGAGUUAGACAUUUCUGUGCCCAAGAAUCAUUUAGGAUACUUUCCAAGAAAAAAGCAUAUUCUUUCAGUAUAGAAAAAUGCCAAAUGACAUCUCUGCAAAGUGCAGCUAAGCCUCAUUUAGAGGGAGAGAUUUGAGUAUCUCAAUCUGUAGCACACUCAAAUGGAUUUCUUACCAAGACCAUCAUGUAUAGCUAAUGUAGUGAAAAUCUCUGUGAGACCUGUCUAUAAACUUGAAGGUAAUACUAAAAAGAAAGAGGACAAGUUAUUAAUGACCUUCCUUUGAUAUAGUAAAUUAAUAAAUCAGUGUCAAUUUUGUAAAGCA
rnacentral:lncRNA from 1 species